CAAAAUGAAACGAGAAAACUUCUGCUGAUCAACUGUGGACAGAGCAAAGCAGGUAAUCCAUUGAUCCGGAUAAAGUGCAUCUUUUUCUUCCUCGCUAGCUUACUCUGCAGAUACGUGCCGCUUAUACACAAGCGCUAAUCAUCUUGCUAUCACUUUAAAUAUACGCCCCCUUCUAGCUUAGCUAACACACUACUAGAAUGAGCAGUAUUACUCAGUAAGUCACGAUGAUCACAUCCAAUCUAUUACUAAGCUUUGCUAGUUCCUGUCCAUCUAUCUAUCGGAACGAAACUAUGGCGGAAUAAUCUGGAGUUCAACGCUGCAUCCAAUUGGCAGUCCAACGAACUGCCCAAAUUCGGCCAGCCAAUCCAAUAUCCGGCGAAACUAAACGCACUGGUGGAACUUCCCACCAGUCUCAGUGUGGAGUACAUGAUUCUGCCCAGCACCGGUGCAAUUCUCGUCCCUGAAACGGACUUUUCGCUGCACUUCGACAGUGACCGAAAGCAGCGCGAAGCGGCUGUAUUCAGAACUCCGGUCAGGAAGCCCGUACUAUUCAACUGCCAACUGGCAAACGGUGGAUUGCUUCCGGGAAAGUUGUCCCGGAACCAAAUAGUGCCACGCCACAUCUGGAGCGCAUUCCGUGUCAGUAUGAAUCUGUGGCGUUUGGAAAAGUCCAUCGCGAUCGACAUGCCAGUACCAUUCGGCGAUUGAGGUGAAAGAUGUCAGCUAUGGGAGGAACGACGGGCUUGGAUGAGUUUCGUUCGCUUUUUUGGUCUCUGACUUGGGUCAGUAUGUUUUCUACAACGGGGAAGAAACACUGGUUACGGAGGGUAAAUGUGGUAGUCCAGAAAAGUGUCCUUGCCAAUCGACUUGGGUCCUUUGAUGCAGUUUGUUCCAAUGAAGUGUGUCCUGUACCGCUCUGUUUGAACCCCGUCAUACCGAAAGGCCCACUGUUGUGCCAUAUGCGGAAGUGUGCUCUUCGUGGAUUUGAGCAAUUUGGAGGAUAAUUUGGAUUUAGGUGAUUUCUCGCGGAAAUUGAAUCGGAAAAUCACAUCAUCAGACGUAGAUCAAUCCGAGGUUAGAGUAUCACAUUAGUGUUGAAAACCAUGCGCUGCAGUUGGUGAUCGUGGCAUAAAGGGAGUAUGCUGAGCAGAGCGUUCAGUUGAUGAAAAAUUUGGAGCCCUAUUUCGCGCUUCGAUUUCGAAAUGGUCAUUAAAGUUCUCCAUGCAGGUCAUCCCCACAUCCCGUAUCAAAGCGGUCAACUGUUCCUAGUUAUGUUCAUUUCCCUGCUGGUUGUAUCAAUGUUCUUCACCAUCCUAUAUGCAUUCUACUAC